AACAGGUUCCAGCACAUUACAAGUAUCGAGUCAAAAAAGUUACGUUGUUCUCCAGAACUAGCUCUCUCCUAAGGGUCAAAAC
rfam:Tupaia chinensis contig32192, whole genome shotgun sequence.